GAUGAACGCUGGCGGCGUGCCUAACACAUGCAAGUCGAACGGAGUCCAGCCUUAGAGACCUUCGGGUCAAAGAGGGGAAGACUGAGUGGCGGACGGGUGAGUAACACGUGGGCAACCUGGCUCAUAGAGGGGGAUAACAGAGAGAAAUUUCUGCUAAUACCGCAUAAGCACACACUGCCGCAUGGCAGAGUGUGAAAAGAGAAUCGCUAUGAGAUGGACCCGCGUCUGAUUAGCCAGUUGGCAGGGUAAGAGCCUACCAAAGCGACGAUCAGUAGCCGAUUUGAGAGGAUGAACGGCCACAUUGGGACUGAGACACGGCCCAAACUCCUACGGGAGGCAGCAGUGGGGGAUAUUGCACAAUGGGGGGAACCCUGAUGCAGCGACGCCGCGUGAGUGAAGAAGUAUUUCGGUAUGUAAAGCUCUAUCAGCAGGGAAGAUAAUGACAGUACCUGAAGAAGAAGCCUCGGCUAACUACGUG
rnacentral:rRNA from 1 species